AGAACGAACGCUGGCGGCAGGCUUAACACAUGCAAGUCGAACGCCCCGCAAGGGGAGUGGCAGACGGGUGAGUAACGCGUGGGAAUCUACCUGGUUCUACGGAAUAACUGAGGGAAACUUCAGCUAAUACCGUAUACGCCCCAAGGGGGAAAGAUUUAUCGGUGCCAGAUGAGCCCGCGUUGGAUUAGCUAGUUGGUGGGGUAAUGGCCUACCAAGGCGACGACGGGUAGCC
rnacentral:rRNA from 1 species